rnacentral:snRNA from 1 species
AUCGCUUCUCGGCCUUUUGGCUAAGAUCAAGUGUAGUAUCUGUUCUUAUCAGUUUAAUAUCUGAUACGUCCUCUAUCCGAGGACUAAAAAAAAAAAAAAAGAGACAGAUUCAAAAACAUAUUGCAAUGAUUUGUUAUGAAAAACUGUCU